rnacentral:tRNA from 1 species
AAUAACGUGCUUGACAAAAAGAUCGUCUUGAUGUGGCGAAUCAUGAGAGCUAAUCUCUCCGUUAUUA